GCAGAACGCGAAGAACCUUACCCACCUUUGACAUCCCGUGCUACCUAGAGAGAUCUAGGGUCCCUUCGGGGCGCGGAGACAGGUGCUGCAUGGCUGUCGUCAGCUCGUGUCGUGAGAUGUUGGGUUAAGUCCCGCAACGAGCGCAACCCUCGCUUCUAGUUGCCAGCAUUUAGUUGGGCACUCUAGAGGAACUGCCUGCGCCAAGCAGGAGGAAGGCGGGGAUGACGUCAAGUCCUCAUGGCCCUUACAGGUGGGGCUACACACGUGCUACAAUGGCGGUGACAAAGGGAUAAUCCCUAAAAGCCGUCUCAGUUCGGAUUGUCCUCUGCAACUCGAGGGCAUGAAGUUGGAAUCGCUAGUAAUCGCGGAUCAGCACGCCGCGGUGAA
rnacentral:rRNA from 1 species